UCUGCCCCACCUCAAGAGUCAGGUCCUGCAAAUCUCUAGCCAAGGCUUGCCCAAACAAAUGGGAACUAUCUGUGAAACCUUGUGGAAGCACUGUCCAGGCACCAGAGAGGAGGAGUAAAUCUUCAGCUUAUAGGCACCUCAUUUAGCCCCAGCACCAGCGAGGAUUUGGAGGAUAAUUGCUCAGGAAAAGAGGGUAAUCUAUUCUGUGCCUGUAGCCUGGGACCAGCCUUCAUCUCUGUCCGAUGAGAAGCCUGUGUCUGUACCAGUUCAGCCAACUGCCAGAAUGGAAUGGACUUCUUUCCCUUCAAAUAUGACCUUGAAGGUCUGGAUGCAUAUUGGCAAGGGCAUGGAAGUGAUUCAAGAAAUGGAGGAAAACGUGUAUGUGAGAUUCCUCGUCCUCCUCCCUAACCAUCACCUGAUGGUUGCCUGACAUUCCUUGGCAGGGGUGAGGGGGUCUCCUGCCCUGCUCAUGUCUGCCUAGCUACCUGCAAUAAGAGACUGACAGCUUCAGGGUGGGGCUGGUCACCAUAGACAGAGGCAUGAUUAGAGGGUUGGGACUUAGCUCCACCACCAACCUACCAAGAGGGGAGAGAAGCUGAAGGUUAAGUUGAUCACCAAUGGCCAAUGACUUAAUCAAUCAUGCUUAUAUAAUGAAGCCUCCAUAAAAACCCAAGUGGCCUGGGUUCACAGAGUUUCCAUACCACGUGGAGGUUCCUGGGGGGUGGUAUGCCCAGGGAGAGCAUGGAAGCUCUGGCGCCCCUUCCCCCAUACCUUGCCCUGUGUAUCGUCUCUUUAUCUGUAUCCUUUGUAAUAUCCUUUUAAUAAACUGGUAAAUGUGUUUCCCUGAGUUCUGUGAGGUGCUUCAGUAAACCAAUCAAACCCAAAGAGGAGGUCUUGGGAACCCCAACUCAAAGCUGG
rnacentral:lncRNA from 10 species